GCCAGCAUGGUGUAGUGGUUUCAGUGUUCGACUACUACUCUGGAGACCAGGGUUUGAAUCCUUGCCCAGGUG